AUAGUCAAAAUAUUUGUGGAGACUGGUGUUGCCCACAGGAACACCAAGUUUCUCCUACUGAUUGAUUCUUUCUGUUCCAGGUUAGCAGUGCAAUAUUGUCCCGAGUGCUAAAACUGCCAGGAACGAUCUCGCUUUGCUCUUAAAGAUACCACGUCUGGAACUUAAUGGCAGCGCUAAUUCUGAUUUAUUCUUCUAAAUGCCAGAUCUGGAAAGAAAGGUCACAAUGCCACAUGCGAGAACUUGAAGAUGGGAAGUUGCAAUUUGGAAGCAGCCGUAAUCCCAGAAUCACUGUUGGAGGAGAGGCACCAUGAAAAGAUGUC
rnacentral:lncRNA from 1 species